rnacentral:rRNA from 1 species
GCGAUAAGGGGACCUCGAGUGCCAGGUUACAAAUCUGGCUGUCGUGAUGCCUAAAAAGCAUUGCAUAGCAAGGGCCGGGCAAGACCGGUGCCAGCCGCCGCGGUAACACCGGCGGCUCGAGUGGUAACCGUUAUUAUUGGGUCUAAAGGGUCUGUAGCCGGCCGGAUAGGUCUCUUGAGAAAUCCAGCAGCUCAACUGUUGGGCUUUCAGGAGAUACUGUUCGGCUCGAGGCCGGGAGAGGUGAGAGGUACUUCAGGGGUAGGGGUGAAAUCUUGUAAUCCUUGAAGGACCACCAGUGGCGAAKGCGUCUCACCAGAACGGACCUGACGGCAAGGGACGAAAGCUAGGGGCACGAACCGGAUUAGAUACCCGGGUAGUCCUAGCCGUAAACGAUACUCGCUAGGUGUCGGCCACGGUGCGACCGUUGUCGGUG